GCCGGGCAUGGUGGCUCACGCCUGUAAUCCCAGCACUUUCGGAGGCUGAGGUGGGUGGAUCACUUGAGGUCAGGAGUUCGAGACCAGCCUGACCAACAUGGUGAAACCCCAUCUCUA
ensembl:misc_RNA Metazoa_SRP Metazoan signal recognition particle RNA